CUCUCUGUGGCGCAAUGGAUAGCGCGUUGGACUUCGCUUUCAAAGGUCGUGGGUUCGAAUUCCUCCUGGGAUA